CAGGACUUUGAUGUGAAGGCAGAAAUUGAUGAAGACUUUGAUGAAAUAGAAAAUAAAUUAGAAAUAAAAGAGGAACCAGUAGAGUAUCAUGACUCGGAAUACAGUAUCAGAUUUGAAGAAAGUGUUGGCAGAGUUGAGGAUUCAAAAGACUUCAUAAAUGUUUCAAACCUUUGUCAG